UUUCCGGAUGAAUCCUAUUCAGACCUGUUCUGAUCCUUGUGGAGACAAACGAAUAUUGCCUUUUAUUUCUGAUU
rnacentral:snoRNA from 1 species